AUACGUAGGUGACAAGCGUUAUCCGGAUUUACUGGGCGUAAAGGGCGUGUAGGCGGUCUUGCAAGUCAGAAGUGAAAUUCCUGAGCUCAACUCGGGCGCUGCUUCUGAAACUGCAGGACUUGAGUGCUGGAGGGGAUAGCGGAAUUCCUAGUGGAGCGGUAAAGUGCGCAGAUAUUAGGAAGAACACCGGUGGCGAAGGCGGCUAUCUGGACAGUAACAGACGCUGAGGCGCAAAAGAGUGGGGAGAAAACAGGAUUAGAUACCCUGUUCGUCCACGCCGUAAACGAUGAAUACUAGGUGUAGGGGGUAUCGACUCCCUCUGUGCCGCAGUUAACACAAUAAGUAUUCCGCCUGGGGAGUACGGCCGCAAGGUUGAAACUCAAAUGAAUUGACGGGG
rnacentral:rRNA from 1 species